AAAUUGAAGAGUUUGAUCAUGGCUCAGAUUGAACGCUGGCGGCAGGCCUAACACAUGCAAGUCGAGCGGUAGCACAGAGAGCUUGCUCUCGGGUGACGAGCGGCG
rnacentral:rRNA from 2 species